CACGAAUGAUUUUACUAUGGAAGGUAGAGGGUGGGUAAUGAUUCCUUAAAACGAGCAUCAUGCGCCUGCUGCCGAGCCCUGAUCGAUGCAGCUCUUACCCUUAUUUGGGCCGAAGUUUAUCGGCCGUAUUUCUACCGCUGCUUCUCUUGCAAUGCUGCUGAAGUUACGCCGCAAAUAAAGAAUCGAGGGUAAAGGUAUACGACUGCUCGUGCCUGCCUUCUUCAUCGGAACACCUUUGUCUCUCAUGAUUAAAAACACCACAGCUGGGAAGACGACGCGGUCGUAAGGCGAGCCUGCUGCCGGGAUGGACAAACCCUUUUUUAAUCGCCGAGCGUAUAAGAUGCAAUUAAACCAGCUCCAGGCCGUAUUAUAAAGGAUAAUUGGAAAGUCACAAAGCGACAUGGGGCACUUAAUGGCCGCUGAAACCCGCCAAAACAAGUGGAUUUGGGCUGAUCCAUCCAGACAGUCUUCCUUAAGAGCUCAACCAAGUCCAGACAACAUUGAGAGGUUAUGUGAAAAG
rnacentral:lncRNA from 1 species